GACGAACGCUGGCGGCGUGCUUAACACAUGCAAGUCGAACGGCAAGGCCCUACUAUUGUGGGGUGCUCGAGUGGCGAACGGGUGCGUAACACGUGAGUAACCUGCUCUUGACUUUGGGAUAAGUUCAGGUAACUGGACCUACUAUAGUAUAGCAGCCCCUGUACCAUGGUGGGCAGUGGAAAGUUUGGGCGGUUGGGGAUGGAUUGGCGGCUUAUGAACUAGUUGGUGGGGUAGUGGAUUGCCCAGGAUUUGAAUGGUAGCCGGCCUGUGAGGGUGACCGGCGACAUUGGGACUGAGGGACGGCGCAGUCGCCAACGGGAGACAACAGGGGGGAAUAUUGCACAAUGGGCGGAAGCCGGAUGCGGCAACGUCGGGUGCGUGAUGACGGCCUGCUGGUAGUAAACCGCAGUCGCCUGUUACGAAGCGUGAGUGACGGUAAUGGGUAAAGAAGCACCGGCUAACUACGUG
rnacentral:rRNA from 1 species